rnacentral:lncRNA from 1 species
UCUUUUGUGUUUCAAUUGUGGUUUAAUCGGUUACAAAAUUGACUCAUGUUCGAUGAAAAUGACGACACAAGAAUCUGCUCCAGCAACGGCUUCCAUCAAUCUGCAACGUACACCAAAUUCCUUUGACGAUGGCGGGAUUGUGGAGAAGAAACAAGAAUUGGAGAAAGACUCCUUUAGGCCCUGGAUGCUAGUCCAAAGAAAGAAACCUAAGCCCAAAGGAACAAACGAACCAACCCAUCUUAGAGGGGCAGGAGAAAGAUAUGAAGAAAUUGAAGUCUCG